rnacentral:hammerhead_ribozyme from 1 species
AUCCAGCUGACGAGUCUCAAACAGGAUGAAACGCGCGUUGUGGAU